UUUGUAUUUAUGUGUCUUGGACAUGUAUUGACAUGCGUAGACGCAUUCCUUGUUAUAACAACAAGAUCACAAAGUGUGAGACUCUUACUGAUUUUUUCCCCUCUUAUAAAUUUAAUUGACAUUAUAACCCCUUUCUUGGCUUACACGGUACUAUCUACUUAAAUCCUCUUUAUGUCAUUUAUUCUUAGCUAUAUAUAUAUAUAUAUAUAUAUAUAGCUAAAAAUGAUAACAUUUUGUUUCUCUAGUUUAGAAAUUUUAGAAUUUAAAUUAUCGUUAGAUGAUAAAACGGGCUUAUACAACCAUGUAUUUUAAUCUAAAUGAAGUGUACUUUUUC
rnacentral:sRNA from 1 species